rnacentral:rRNA from 1 species
GACGAACGCUGGCGGCGUGCUUAACACAUGCAAGUCGAACGGAAAGGCCCUGCUUUUGUGGGGUGCUCGAGUGGCGAACGGGUGAGUAACACGUGAGUAACCUGCCCUUGACUUUGGGAUAACUUCAGGAAACUGGGGCUAAUACCGGAUAGGAGCUCCUGCUGCAUGGUGGGGGUUGGAAAGCUUCGGCGGUUGGGGAUGGACUCGCGGCUUAUCAGCUUGUUGGUGGGGUAGUGGCUUACCAAGGCUUUGACGGGUAGCCGGCCUGAGAGGGUGACCGGCCACAUUGGGACUGAGAGACGGACCAGACGCCUACGGGAGGCAGCAGUGGGGAGUAUUGCACAAUGGGCGGAAGCCUGAUGCAGCAACGCCGCGUGCGGGAUGACGGCCUUCGGGUGGUAAACCGCUUUCGCCUGUGACGAAGCGUGAGUGACGGUAAUGGGUAAAGAAGCACCGGCUAACUACGUG